rnacentral:misc_RNA from 1 species
CUCUCGUUGUCUUAAUUGCAUAGAACAAUAUUUCAUUAAAUCUUCUGUAUUUUUUCUAACAAUAAUAAAUAGAAGUUAUACGAAUAGCGACAUACCGAGCUAUCCAACCCCAACGUAAGCAACAUCAUAAAAAAGAUGAGCGCCCAAAACAUCGAUCCAGGCAUAGUAGCGAUAGCAGCAGGAUAAACGAUAAACACUAGACCAGGUCCUUCAGUCGCUACAUCCUGAAUGGACUUUCCACUUGCUCGAGCCAUGUACCCUAGUACAGAAAAAAUCACAAAACCAGCGACGAACGAUGUUGCGCUGUUUAUCAAACUGGUUAAUAAAGCGUCCCUGGAAAAUUUGUAAACGUUGUUGUGAUAUUUAUUAUAACUCGCAUAAGCCAAAAGCACCCCAAAACCCGGUCCGAGAGAGAAGAACACCUGCGUUGCGGCAUCCACCCACACCUAAAUAGAGAUUAAGCAUUCAGGAAAAAUCGCCAGAUAGUCUCAAUUUUACAAUUGAAAUCGAAAUUUUAUCAAAAAUUCAAAAAAGGCAAUUUAUCUUCUGUAAGAAAGAAAGAUUUAUUUUUU